AUAUGUGCAUAAGAAGUAAUAUACAGAAAAUUUACAACAACUAAGCUGGACAGUGCAAUUGACUGCAGUCCACAAACAUUAUUAGUUGCAGUUGUUGGUACACUAGUUGCAGCUACACUUUCGCAGCCACGCAGUGCAUUGCAGAGAAUGCAGUGCAAAUUAUGUAUAAUUUAGUCUUUUCACACGUCUCUCGCGCCGCACGUUACCGCUGACAUUCUAAGGUAGAUGAACUUGUACUUGCCAUUUGUGGGCUGGCAUGGCAGCAGCAGCAACAACAAUUGCAACAACUAUAAUACGCUGGCAAAUGUUUGCGGUUAUACGCAAUUUUAACAACAAUAACAACAGCAACUGGUUUGAAAUGCUUGCAAUUCAUUGCUGAUUGUUUUUGCUCGUUCAUGCGUGCGCUCCAGCCAUCCAACGUUCGUGGCUCUCACUGCGUCACUUUUCUUUGCAUUUCGCACGAUGUUGCUGACAUUCUGCAUGCAAUGCAUGCGCACACACAUACAUACAUAGAUAAGGGCUCAUUUUGCAAGCAGCAAUACUCUCACGCUCCGCAUUGAUGGCAUAAUAUAACCACUGCUAUGACUCGUUUUGUUGUUGGUUGCUCACUCAUUAAGGCUGAAUGCAUUGGACAUACCUUUUCUUUUGCAUUUAUGUUGUUAUUGUAAAUGCAACGGUUAACUUGAGUUUCAUGGCUUCACUUAAUGCCUUGGCUUCGCUUAACUGUUAUUAUUAUAAGCUUAACAUUGAAAAGUUUCAGUGGAUUUGACAUUACAAAUCGAUUUUGUUGAGCAUUAAAUGAGGAAAUAAUCAUUAAAUUGAUUUUAAGAGCUCAAAAAUUAAUUAUUGAAGUCUGUACGGAGAAUUUUAAAAUAUAAAGUAGAGAUAGACUUUAACAACUUAACCUAAAAAUGGGACUGACUCUAGAAUUCAUAUAAAAAUGUUUGGAUUACUUCGUAAGGCUUCAAAAGAAUGUUAGCUGUUGAGAGAAUUUAUUAGUUCUGAAAAAUUUUUGGUCAUUAGAGUUGAUAUUGGACUAUUUUUAACACAAAAAGCUCUUAUGAGGUCUCUAUGAAUCCAACAUUCUGCACCCUAAGGCACAAAUUCCCAAACCUUAUUAUUAAUAACAGUCCCCCUCACUUUUUAUAUUCAACCAGUCCAGUGAGAUCACUCACACAAUCACCAUAUAAUAAAUACAUAUAUAUUAAAACUGAACUCUCGUCCACUGACGUCACUAAGCUGUUUGCGGAUCUCGUGCCACUCUUUCGUCUUGUCUACGUUGUUUCAAAGAGUCGUCAAUGAAAACUCGCUCCAUUUACUCACUAGCUGACUGUUAGCCUAGCUAUAUUAAGCAAGCUAAGCGUACGCUAAGUAUAUUAAGCCGUUACGUAUUCAAGGUCUACAAGCAUGCAUGUAGCUAAACGUGUUUAUUGUUGUUUCUUUUUGUAUAUGUUUGCACAGGUGCAAAUGGUUAGAGAACGAUCUGUAUGUAUGAGUGAAUGGUGCAGACGCACGAAUUUGUAAUUUUGAGUGGCGCAUGAGAUGAGAAGCAUUAAACUUGUAUAUGACUGUGAGUCUUAGCGGUGUUGUUAGUUGUUAAUUUGUUCAAUAGUACACAAUUUGGGGAAUUUCAAGUAAUGAAAGCAGGUGUCAUUUAUGCGGGUUGUCAGUAAUAAUUAGCAUGUCAAGGUCGUCAAAUAUUUCAGUGUAUCAAAAAUUCUUUAGCUGGCACAUUUUCUAUAUUUCAAGUUUGAGAGCUAACCUUAAAACCUUAGAUCUUAUCCUGCGUACUCCCGCAGUGCAAUGAGUUCCAUAAAAAAAAGUAUUUUAUUGAUAUAAUAAUAAUGGAAUUAAUUAUUCAGCCAUGUUUUGAGGUUAGGUUAAUGUUUUGCUAUCAACUGUUUUAGCAUUUUUUUGAGGUUAGGUUAAAUUUUUUUUUUUGUACUGUCAAUUUUAUAUAUAUACGGGUGGAAAUUCGAAAAUUGAGCAUGGUUUUAAACUGCCUUCGAGUGACCAGAAACAAUUCUUUUGCAUGUGGCUCAGCAGCUCACGACUUCCGGCCUUAGACCAUGUAUCCUCUGGGUAGCCAACAGACAUGCGUUUGGAGGCGAGGUAAAGUGAGAAGGCUCUGCGGCUGUGCGGGUGGGUUUGGGCCCCACCACAUAAAAACGAAGUACAAAUGAAAAAUCGACGAAAGCCUCGGA